AUUGAACGCUGGCGGCAGGCCUAACACAUGCAAGUCGAGCGGAAACGACAUUAUUGAUUCUUCGGAGGACUUAAUGGGCGUCGAGCGGCGGACGGGUGAGUAAUGCCUAGGAAAUUGCCUUGAUGUGGGGGAUAGCCAUUGGAAACGAUGGCUAAUACCGCAUAAUGCCUACGGGCCAAAGAGGGGGAUCUUCGGACCUCUCGCUCAUAGAUUAGCCCAAGUGAGAUUAGCUAGUUGGUAAGGUAAUGGCUUACCAAGGCGACGAUCUCUAGCUGGUUUGAGAGGAUGAUCAGCCACACUGGGACUGAGAUACGGCCCAG
rnacentral:rRNA from 1 species